rnacentral:rRNA from 1 species
AGAGCGAACGCUGGCGGCGCGCCUAACACAUGCAAGUCGAGCGAGAACCAGGGCUUGCCCUGGGGAAAGCGGCGAACGGGUGCGUAACACGUGAGCAACCUGCCCCAAAGACCGGGACAACCCGAGGAAACUCGGACUAAUACCGGAUGCCCUCACCGGGCCGCAUGGUCUGGUGAGGAAAUGGAUUCCGCUUUGGGAUGGGCUCGCGGUCUAUCAGCUUGUUGGUGGGGUAACGCCUACCAAGGCGGCGACGGAUAGCUGGUCUGAGAGGACGAUCAGCCACACUGGGACUGAGACACGGCCCAGACUCCUACGGGAGGCAGCAGUGGGGAAUCUUGCGCAAUGGGGGAAACCCUGACGCAGCGACGCCGCGUGCGGGAUGAAGGCCUUCGGGUUGUAAACCGCUUUCAGCAGGGACGAAAUUGACGGUACCUGCAGAAGAAGGCCCGGCCAACUACGUGCCAGCAGCCGC